GAUUGAUAACUGGAGAGUAUCGUAAAACGCUUAUGGCAAUAUGAUAACGUAAUGUGAAAUUAUUAUACUCCACGGUUGGUGUAUGUGUUGAGUAAGGAAAAGGUGCGAUUUGGAUAACAGAAGAAAUAACAGAUGUCAACGUGUAUUUACAAAGAUAUACAGACAAAAUCGGGAAAAAGUUCAACAACCAGAUUAUAAAGGCUAUCGUAUAUAUAUGCUACGUGUGUAUUAAUAAGCGGCUUGAAUGCGGAGGACAAAUUUAAAAGAGGCAACGCCUCCGAAUACGUCCCUGACCCGCGUAAAAACCUUCCGAAUGUCUAGCUCGGGUGAGCGAGCCGUUCGUUUACUAUAAUUUUUUUCUGGUUAGCAAUGGGCCCUGUGAGCAUGCGCGUGUGUGCGCAUGCGUUCGUCGUACCAACACAAUUAUCGUGUGACAAAUAUGUGCAAUUGUACGUAAACACACAUACACACACUGAUGUACUCCGCACAGUUAAACAGUUUUAUUUUUAACCCAAAGGUCUCUAGAUUUUCGUUUCGUGUUAUUAAGCACGUGCUGAACACGUGCUGUUAAAGCGCGCUAUUCGAAAAAAGAAUGAAAAAAAGAGAAAAGAAAAGAAAAGAA